rnacentral:rRNA from 1 species
AGAAUCAACGCUGGCGGCGUGCCUAACACAUGCAAGUCGCACGAGAAAGUGGAGCAAUCCACGAGUAAAGUGGCGCACGGGUGAGUAACACGUGAAUGAUCUACCUCCGAGUGGGGGAAUAACUGAGAGAAAUCUUAGCUAAUACCGCAUAACACUUACGAGUCAAAGCAGCAAUGCGCUUGGAGAGGAGUUCGCGGCCGAUUAGCUAGUUGGCGGGGUAAUGGCCCACCAAGGCGAUGAUCGGUAUCCGGCCUGAGAGGGCGCACGGACACACUGGAACUGAAACACGGUCCAGACUCCUACGGGAGGCAGCAGUGGGGAAUUUUGCGCAAUGGGGGAAACCCUGACGCAGCAACGCCGCGUGGAGGAUGAAGCCCCUUGGGGUGUAAACUCCUUUCGAUCGGGAAGAUGAUGACGGUACCGAUAUAAGACGCCCGGCUAACUCGUGCCAGCAGCCGC